GUUUGUAAAAUCCUUUUAAUGCGACCCAGUGAAUGGAUGUGGCGUGGAAAGGAGGGGGCGUUGCACACUACUGUCUCGAUGUACACAGAGACACACACACACACAGCGAGCAUCCCACAUCCUGGUACUUUUCAGCGUUGUCAAGGCAGCCUGAGCACGACUGGCGGAAAGUAGCUGCAGUGUCCUGGCAGAAUAUCUGUGCAAAACCGCCCCCAAAGUGUCCCGGAAAGUUAAGUGCCGCUAAAAGGAUAUCUGCACACCAAUGUGAUGUCGGAGAGCAUAAGAGGUGCUCAGAACCGUGAUGAUGCUGAUAAUGACAGAUAGGAUCCUGGACUGAGGGGCUACCAAGGCCAAUCACUGCUGUUGGAUGAGAACCGAUGGGCUGUCUAACCUGGCAACAGCAUGCCAACUGCAAAAGGUAAAGGUGGCUCAACGUCCCACCGUUACCGGCCGGCCUCGGAGUACGAUGAUGCCACGCUCGCCCUAAAGCGAGAGUACUGGAGAAACAAGAAGCGAGAGCAGCGGGCCCGUCUGUCAGAGGAGAGGGAAAGGCACAAACACAACAACAGCAGCCGGGGAGGAAAGCAGCUAAAUGCCCCUGCGGAAGAGAAUUCCACUCUGGCCCAGUCCUCAGGUGCUUUGUCUUCUCCUUUGCAGAGUAAUGAUAAUUCAUACAAUUCUGUGUCAAAGCACAGAAAUGCUCUGGGGGAUGGGUCAUGUGAAACCACUGAAAGCCAAAAGGAGAAGUGGCUCCAGACAGUAAAACUCAACAAGCGUCUGCCUCAGUUGCCAGUGUCGUGUUCCAUCUCUGCCAGAUCAGCCAGCGGCAGCACAGCCGCAGGUAAACGUCAGACAGCAAGGGACGCAGCGGUCUCCUUACCUGUGUCCAGUGGAACUCAGCUGAACACCGUAUCCUCAGUGCCUCCAGUCAGAGUGACCAGAAUAACCAAUGGCAGCUCCAGUAAAACAGCACCUCAGCCAUGUGUGUCUAUGCAGGGUGCAUCAGUCCCCAGAAACCAACAUAAGGCACAGGUUGUAUUACCCACUCAGCCCAAAGUCUUACCCACAGGUCUCGUUCUCGUGUCCUCUCCAUGCGGCCCCACUUCCACUAAAGCAGAGAGCAAAACAGCCAUCUCACCACCUCAGAGUGGAACAAAGCGUGCCUUGGUCACCACACAGAGGGCUAAAGGUGUUGGCAAUGCACAAGCUUCCCUGGAGUCCGACGAGGAAAGAGCAGCCAAGCGUCGGGAACAGUGGCGGCUCAAAAAGCGAGAGCAGCGAGCAAAGCUUGCAGCUAGGUUAGCUAAAGCCAGAGAGAGGGCACAGGGUGCAGAGAUGACGUUUCAGAGGCUAACGGCACCAAAAACCGGACACGUGGGAAGCAUAGUUCUUCCAUCAGAGUCACUUUUGAGAGGAGCAAGCCAGAAGCAGUGUCAUACACGGGUCAAAACACCAUUUACAUCAGCCAAAAGUGAAAACAAUAAACUGCAAAGUGGGACAGCAACUGUAGUUGUAAGUGCUCUGCAAACAUCUGAUACUCCAUCUGUGAAAAAACCAGUCGACUCUCAGGGAAAGGUUCCAAGUUAUGGUCAUCUUUGCGGUGUUACCCGGGGUAUCGCGAGAUAUAAAACGCCUAGACAAAGGUUCAUCGAAGCACAGAGAAACUUAAUGAACCAUAGAAGUCUAAGGUGUAAAUCCCCAAUGCUGCCCUCAGCUUUUGGUACCAGAAGUAUGCCCAAAAUCAACCCUGACGACACGCCCGAGCAGAUAAUAGCUAAACGGAGAGAGUACUGGCGGAUCAAAAAGCGCGAACAGCGAGCUAAGCUGUCCAUGGAGGUAAAGGUUCGGUUGAAAGAGAGAGAUUCUUUGAUGAGGAGGGUGAAACGUUACCAGAAAAUCCUCGAGGAGAUGAGGAAGACCAGAGUGCUGGCGCAGUCAACCGGAAGUGCCCUCACUCACAGCCCAGAGACCAUCGGAGGAUUCAUCAAAGAGGAUGGGACGCUCACUGCUAACAUCCCUCACAGUUCUGUAGAUCACAGCACAGCAGAGGACAAAAGUCAAGUAGAGCUUUGUGUAGUUUCUACAAACACUCCUUUGGCACAACCACAGUGUCCGCCUGACGCUAAACUGAGCAGUGCUGCUCCCAUCAGGAUAAACACGGCUCCCCCUCCACUUUGUUUAGCUCAGGUGAAAGUCUCUGCUCCUGGACAGCCAGCCAACAAACUGCCGCGACUGCUCGCAGUUAGACCACAGACUCAGCACGAAAGCACAAGUGUUCCUAAUUUGCACUCAUCAACUAUCCAAACUGUGGGUCAGCUCACACUUACUCAUCCACAGAGCCCUCAAAAUUCAGCAGGUUCAAACGUUAGCAGUUGUGUUAUGAAAAUGACCAUCUCGAGCAGAGCGCCGUCGCUGUCGGCCCUGUCUCUGGAUGCGGGGCUGACGGAGGAGGAGAGGAUGGCAAAGAAGAGGGAGUACUGGAGGAUAAAGAAGCGUGAGCAGAGAGCAGCUCGUGCUGUCCGACUGAGACAGGGUGUUUUACAUGCUAGGGCCGGUGCAGCAUUACAAAGGAGGAAGCCUCAGAAGCAGGGGACGCUGAUCACUGUGCCUCAGAGUAGAAAUCUCACCGACACUACAGCAAAUGCACCUCCUCUUUCCAACAACAGCGUGCUUUUUCUGCCUCAUGCAAAUGAAAUGAAACAGGAGAGUGACUCCAUGCCAGCAGCUGACCUAAAUUCUCCAGUAGAACAAGCCAUCUGUCCAGAUAUCAAACCCCCUACUUCCCCACCUCCAGCACCCCAGCUGGAGUCUGACCCAUGUUUGAGCGCAGACAGUCAAACUGCCACUCUGCUAGCCGUGGCCUCCAUGAAGAAGCUCCUGGAAGAAUCUCUCAGCACAGUGACAGAAUGUAAAAGUGAGCAGAACUCUAUUAAAAUGGAGACAAUAGAAGAGGUUUCACAGCAAGACAUGAAGCCAAAUUUAUCUCAGCUGUCUUUUGAAAGGGAUGACACGGCUCCUAUUGCUGCUGACCUCACUUUGCAGAUAAAAAGCUGGGAGCUAGACAGCAAGGUCUCUGCAAAGGCGAGUUUACAAAGCCCUCAACUCAAGAACCCAUCGCAGGUGAGUGAGACAGCUCCACCUCUUCCUGCUUCCAGUGAGGUAGGUGUGCAUCGUACCAGUGAGCACUCAUCCCAGACCCCUGUGAACUACAUGGUAAACACCUCCAUGGAAGCACCACGCAGAACCCAGAGGCUUUGCGCUAAAAAAGCCGGCUAUAAAACCUGCUGCUCUCCAGAGCCACCAAAGCUGCAUCACAUCACAGCCGUGACCCUGGAUAACCUGCAGCCACAGCAGCAACAGCAGGAACAGCAUCAGGCACAAGAACAGAACAACUGCCCCGAACCACCGCGGAGGUACAACAGCGUGGUGACGGAGCAGAGCGGCUUGACCAGCUUGCAGAGGAAGAGGGAGUACUGGAAGCUGAUGAAGAGGCAGCAGAGGGCCAAGUUAAAGGCCAGGCAGAAAGACGGAGAGGGGGAGUGCAGCAGCGGGCUCUUCCCCAGAAGCAUUCAGACCCCGGGGCUUGUUAUUAUCAACAGUCUUAAAGGGGUGAGUCCUCCAGCAAAACGAGCCCUCCAGCCCAAACCACCUGUCCCUCCUCUGGACUCAGUGACCAGCAUCCCUACCGUUCUGGUUGUUAGCCAAACAACAUCUAAUGCUCAACAGUCAGCGUGCACGCUCCAGAGUCCCACACACAAGAAACAAUCCUCCAUCCAGCUGGCACCAGUAAGCACCAUGGUUCCUCCAAAGCCCAUCCCAGGGGAAAGUGAGCAGGACUUUCUGAGGAGGAAGCGGGAGUACUGGAGGAUAAAAAAGAAGGAGCAGAGAGCCAGGAAGGCAGUUCGGGACAAGGGAAUCACCCAAAGCUUCAACAGCUGGAAGACUAGGCUGCCUCCCCUGGAUCUACAGACAGAGGAACCUGGUCAGUGGGUGAACUCUUCUGAGGAGUCAGAACAUCUAAUGAGCUCUUCAGUGGACUCGGCAUCCUUUACAUACUCGGAUUACACAGCGCCAAUCGAAGAUGAGUCAGAGCUGCUGUUUGCUGAAAGUGAGGAGGAUUCUGUUUCCGAUGCUGUGUGGAGGAGCCGCUACCUCAUGGACUAUGACCCACUCAACCAGCUGCUGGUGUGCAUGGUGUGUGGGGAACUGCAAUAUUCCCACAGCCUAGAGGGAGUGAAGGCCCACAUUGACGAGGCCCACCCGCACACCCUAACCUUGGAACCCGGCGAGAAAGAGCAAAUACGGGAGGCCUGGGAUGAGCAGGUGUCCCGGCGGGAACGCUUCUUCAGCAGCCAGCUGCAGCAGCACAGCAGACCUGUGGCAGAACCACACAAGAACUGAAGAGCUGGAGAGACGGCUGCAGGAGGAACUGAAGGCCAUGGACCGGGAGGCACAAACCCUCCCUCCUCCUUUCUCUCAUUUAUUGUAUUUUUUUUAUCAGUGUGUUUACCUCUGUAGGAAGACACCUUGGAAAAGAAGGCCCUAAAGCAGCUUUACCUCAUUUCCUGCCAGGGUUGUGUAUGUUUAUCAAAGGCAGUGAGGACAUUUUUAUACUGAAGCUGCCUCAUCCAAGUUUUGCUGUCAGUCCUUCCCUUGUCCUGUUCGUGGUCUCGCUGUGCUCCUUUUUUUCUCUCACCCCCAAUCAGUUGCAGCAAACGGUUGCUCCUGCUUCUCCCAGAACGUUCCUCCUGUUCAAAAGGAGUUCUUCCUCCCCACUCUUGCUGCUCAUGGGGGAUCAUUGCACUUCUCCAUAAUAUUUUUGCUUUUUACAAUACAGCACCUUCAGAUGAGUGUUGGAGUGAAACAUUACUAUAUAAAGGAAACUACAUUUUGGAAAUCUUCACUCUGGGAAGGCUAAGCUAAUGGGAUUCUGGAUCUGUUUAUUAGGCCACUGAGCUUUCUGUUCUUAAUUUAUUGAUCCAAUCACAGACUUGCACAAACAUUUUCUUUGAUCACAUGACCUCUGUGGGCACCAUAAUAAAAUAUAACCUGUGUUUUCCAGCUGGAGCAUACUCAUAGCCAGUUUGUACAUUCCUUACUGCUCUCUUCUGCCUUGUUGGGUUUUCUGCAGGGAUAAACAUUUCAGCAUCCUGGGAAGACACUAUAGGUAUUCCAAGGAAAAACGGGAUAAUAGGUAGUAUGGGGAUAAAAGACUUGCUGAAUGAGUAGCUCAGAAGCUCAGCUCAGUCAUAAAAUUAGCACCAGUGGCCAGGCUGUGAAUUCCAUAGUGGGAAGUGUUUUAGCACCAAAUAUAAAGAAAAAUAUUGAUUGUGUAAAGUUCCUGAAAACUCCUGGAAGGUGGAACCUGCUGGCUGAGCUGCUGAGAGCACAAACUGGGGCUGAAUGCACGGGACUGAGGAACAUUACUGCUGAAUACGUUUGUAUUGGAGGACGGGGUCAUCCUUCUUUCUAAUGUCAGUCUUGCUUUUAACUCGUAGACGGCAGUUAGCAGGCUUGUGCAGAGACACACUACCUGUUCACUGAUAAGCAGCCGUGGGAUAACAUCCAUGGCUUUUGUCAAUGUGACAUUUAUAGUUAAUUAUAAAUUAAGUUAAUAUUUAACCCUGGGAUUAGUCGGCUAUAGAAAAAACAGCAUCAGCACAACAUUUUCUACUAUUUGGAAGCUGAUAGAAUCUGCUAGUGUGCAGAUUUUCCUGCAGGCUUGUAUUCAGGUUAGUCUGCUCUAGAUUCUUGAUAGUUUCUCAAUCACUGAAUGGGGCAUCUGGAACUGAGCUGCAAUUCUUUUCUAUUUGCUACUGCAUCACACCCUGACCUGUUUCUCUACGGCUGGGGUCCCCAAUCCCAGUCCACGAGGGCCGGUGUCCUGCAGGUUUUAGAUCUCACCCUGGGUCAACACACCUGAAUCACAUGAUUAGUUCAUUACCAGGCCUCUGGAGAACUUCAGGACAUGCUGAGAAGGUAAUUUAUCCAUUUAAAUCAGCUGUGAUGGAUCAAGGACAUCUAAAACCUGCAGGGACACCGGCCCUCGUGGACUGGGAUUGGGGACCCCUGCUCUACAGGCAACGUUUUUUACCCAGACAACUUUCUUAGGGACAGUUUGUCACCUCUGCAAAAAUCUCCUGCAGCACUGUAAAUAGACUAAUAUAAAGCUGGUUAUGACAUGCCAAAUGUGACUUUUUCUGUGCCGUUCCACAAUAUUUGGAGCAGCCUUGUUAUUUAUUGAAUCUCCUCUUACGCAAGUGAUCGUUGAUGAUGCAUUAUUCAUAUCUGUAGAAAGUUCCAUGUUAGAAAAGUAUUUCAUUUGUGAAUGUUAUCAAUCCAAGGCUUUCCUACUUAAGUAGUAAAUGGAUGAAGUGCUCUGGAAUGCUUUUCAAUGAUUUUUCUAUGAUUUUCAUGAAGACUACAACACUGAAAUAUUCUUGUAUUUGAGCACAAAGCUGAGGAGCUGAACACUGUCUGUGGAGCCACAAGGCAGUGGAAAGAGCUUGUGGUGACCAGAUCACUCAUGAAAAUCAGACGUGAUUGUCUGCCAGUUUAAAAGGGAAUGUUUAAAUGCCUU
ensembl:lncRNA